GACAGAGGGGGCAAGCGUUGCUCGGAAUUACUGGGCGUAAAGGGCGCGUAGGCGGGAUGGCAAGUCGGUCGUGAAAUCCCUCGGCUCAACCGAGGAACGUCGAUCGAUACUGCUGUUCUUGAGGAUUGCAGAGGGGACUGGAAUUCCCGGUGUAGCGGUGAAAUGCGCAGAUAUCAGGAGGAACACCGGUGGCGAAGGCGGAUCUCUGGGCCUGUCCUGACGCUCAGGCGCGAAAGCUAGGGGAGCAAACAGG
rnacentral:rRNA from 1 species